AGAAACCGGCGGCGAGGAGCGCAUCCCGCAGGGGAAGGCCCGCGGCCUGCGUGGGCCGCGACGGGGACCGGUGCGCUGGCAGGCACUUCAUGCCGGGACAGCUAAAGCCAAGUUUACAGCAGAGCCUGGCACAGUACCCGAACCACAAGGAGAUAGCAGCUACUGUGAUUGGACACGUUCAAGGUCUGGAGAAGAUGGGAACACAAAGACUGCAUUAUGUAGGCACUCGCAUGGUCUCCCGGCAGCAGCUCAUGUGCUGACAUUUGAUUUUAUACUGGUGACAACAAGAUCAAGAAAGAGCUCAGAGUUUGCAAAUUUACAACAGAGAGGCUGUCUCAGAAGCAGGCAUCCCCCAUCAUACAGUGUGUGCUUAACUAAGCUUGUGGAAGAUGGGAUGUGUCUGGUUGUAAUUCCACUAAUCAGCAUGAUCAAGGCCUAUGUCAUUCUGGUCCAGGGAAGAGUGACGAGACCCUCCCCACACCAAGCUUUCUCCAUCUCCAAAGCCUAUGUCACCUCUGUCUUCAGAAUGUCCCCUGCUGCA
rnacentral:lncRNA from 1 species